rnacentral:rRNA from 1 species
AUUGAACGCUGGCGGCAUGCUUUACACAUGCAAGUCGAACGGUAACAGGCCGCAAGGUGCUGACGAGUGGCGAACGGGUGAGUAAUGCAUCGGAACGUGCCCAGUCGUGGGGGAUAACGCAGCGAAAGCUGCGCUAAUACCGCAUACGAUCUAUGGAUGAAAGCGGGGGACCGUAAGGCCUCGCGCGAUUGGAGCGGCCGAUGCAAGAUUAGGUAGUUGGAGGGGUAAAGGCCCACCAAGCCGACCAUCUGUAGCUGGUCUGAGUGGACGACCAGCCACGCUGGGACUGAGACACGGGCCAGGCUCCUACAGGAGGCAGCAGUGGGGAAUUUUGGACAGUGGGCGCAAGCCUGAUCCAGCAAUGCCGCGUGCAGGAAGAAGGCCUUCGGGUUGUAAACUGCUUUUGUACGGAACGAAACGGUCCUGGUUAAUACCCGGGGCUAAUGACGGUACCGUAAGAAUAAGCACCGGCUAACUACGUGCCAGCCGCCGCAGUAACAC